rnacentral:pre_miRNA from 1 species
UUCGAUUCAGUACCGAUUCUCACUAUCGGGACAGGACAGGGGACAGAAUGGUUAUACCGAAAUGGCCCUGCCCUACCCUAUCCUGAUCCGAUAAUGUAAAUCGGGAACGAC